ensembl:lncRNA
UGUAUGUAGUGUUAUGAUAUGAGGGUAGGUUAGUGUUGUGAUAUGAGGGCAGGUUAGUGUUAUGAUAUGAGGGCAGGUUAGUGUUAUGAUAUGAGGGCAGGUUAGUGUUAUGAUAUGUCUGUAUGUUAGUGUUAUGAUAUGAGGGUAGGUCAGUGUUAUGAUAUGAGGGUAGGUUAGUAUUAUGAUAUGAGGUGUAGGUUAGUGUUUGAUAUGAGGGUAGGUUAGUGUUAUGAUAUGAGGGUAGGUUAGUGUUAUGAUAUGAGGUGUAGGUUAGUGUUUGAUAUGAGGGUAGGUUAGUGUAAUGAUAUGUCUGUAUGUAGUGGUAUGAUAUGAGGGUAGGUUAGUGGUAGACAUGUCUGUAUCUAGUGUUAUGAUAUAAGGGUAGGUUAGUGUAAUGAUAUGUCUGUAUGUAGUGGUAUGAUAUGAGGGCAGG